rnacentral:sRNA from 1 species
GGUUUGCGUGAGGGAUUGCAGUGGAAAUCCUUUUUUAAAUUGUCAUCCUGAGCGGAGUCGAAGGGCAAUUUAAAAAAGAUUGCAACGGAAAGCCCGACCCAGU